rnacentral:rRNA from 1 species
UACCAGCACCCCGAGUGGUCGGGACGAUUAUUGGGCCUAAAGCAUCCGUAGCCGGUCAUGCAAGUCCUCCGUUAAAUCCACCUGCUUAACAGAUGGGCUGCGGAGGAUACUACAAGGCUAGGAGGCGGAAGAGGCAAGCGGUACUCAGUGGGUAGGGGUAAAAUCCUCUGAUCCAUUGAAGAACCACCAGUGGCGAAGGCGGCUUGCCAAUACGCGCUCGACGUGAGGGAUGAAAGCUGGGGGAGCAAACCGG